rnacentral:rRNA from 1 species
UACGAAGGGUGCAAGCGUUACUCGGAAUUACUGGGCGUAAAGCGUGCGUAGGUGGUUUGUUAAGUCUGUUGUGAAAGCCCCGGGCUCAACCUGGGAAUUGCAUUCGAGACUGCUCUGCUAGGGUGCGGAAGAGGGAAGCGGAAUUUCCGGUGUAGCGGUGAAAUGCGUAGAUAUCGGAAGGAACAUCAGUGGCGAAAGCGGCUUCCUGGUCCAGCACCGACGUUCAGGCACGAAAGCGUGGGGAGCAAACAGG